rnacentral:rRNA from 1 species
CAGUAGCCGCGGGAAUACGAAGGGGGCUAGCGUUGCUCGGAAUGACUGGGCGUAAAGGGCGCGUAGGCGGCGGCCAAAGUCAGGCGUGAAAUUCCCGGGCUCAACCUGGGGGCUGCGUUUGAUACUUGGUUGCUUGAGUGGGGAAGAGGGUCGUGGAAUUCCCAGUGUAGAGGUGAAAUUCGUAGAUAUUGGGAAGAACACCGGUGGCGAAGGCGGCGACCUGGUCCUUUACUGACGCUGAGGCGCGAAAGCGUGGGGAGCAAACAGGAUUAGAUACCCGCGUAGUCCCUGUCUCUUAUAC